rnacentral:rRNA from 1 species
UACGAAGGGGGCUAGCGUUGCUCGGAAUUACUGGGCGUAAAGGGAGCGUAGGCGGACAGUUUAGUCAGAGGUGAAAGCCCAGGGCUCAACCUUGGAAUUGCCUUUGAUACUGGCUGUCUUGAGUACGGGAGAGGUGUGUGGAACUCCGAGUGUAGAGGUGAAAUUCGUAGAUAUUCGGAAGAACACCAGUGGCGAAGGCGACAUACUGGCUCAUUACUGACGCUGGGGCUCGAAAGCGUGGGGAGCAAACA